GCUGCAUAUAUUCGGCGAUCACCUUCACCUUCUUGCAGAGGUAGGAUUUGCUCACCAUCCUCAUGGAAGCGAUCCUCACAUACCCCUUGAGGAUGAGGACCAACACGAUGGCAUACAACGGAUACCUGUAGGGAAGUUUCUGGCCGUAGGUCACAUCCUGAUGAUGCUUGCAAAUCAUCAGAAUGAUUAGCACCAGCAAGAAUCCCUGAAG
rnacentral:lncRNA from 1 species